rnacentral:rRNA from 1 species
UACAGAGGUGGCAAGCGUUGUUCGGAAUUACUGGGCGUAAAGGGCGCGUAGGCGGUUCGAUAAGUCCUGUGUGAAAUCCCUCGGCUCAACUGAGGAACUGCACGGGAGACUGUCGGGCUUGAGUUCGGGAGAGGGAAGCGGAAUUCCGGGUGUAGCGGUGAAAUGCGUAGAUAUCGGGAGGAACACCAGUGGCGAAGGCGGUUGCCUGGAGCUUUGCUGACGCUGAUGCGCGAAAGCCAGGGGAGCGAACGGG